CCACCAUGCCUGGCCAGGGAAAUGGAUUUGAGACUGAGCCCCCAUCUUCUAGAAUGUAGCACCCAAUUAAAGCCUUUUUCCUUGGCAGUAUCAUCGUUUCAGUGAUUGGCUUUCUGUGCAGCCAGCAGCAGGACCUAGACUGAACCCUUGGUGUUUCAGUGACAACAUCAGUGUGACUGAUGUCCUCAUGAAACCAGUGGAAUCAGAAUUUCCUAGAAAUCUUUACAAAGCUUUUGCGUUUCUGAUGUUUUAUUCUUUAGCCCAUGGUGGUUUACAUUUGCCUCUUUUAUCAUCUCUUGUAGUCUGAAAAAUUUCUAUUUCUCGUGUUAGUCCUUGAUUGCCUAUUGGAUUAUUUUCUCAUUUACACAGCAGGCCCAGGUUGGAUGAGGGGAAUAUGAUUAAAAGACAAUACAUAUAUUUAAUACUUUCAGAGGAUUUAUACAGGAACAAAAAUCAGAGGAAGACCUACAAGGUGUUCUAAUUUAAAAAUUUUUAAUUCUUCUAAUAAGCAUUUCAUGCUCUUAGCUAACUCUUUACUAUGAAGAAAUGGACUGGGAGCCAACAGAUCUGAGUUCCUGUCCCUGCACUGACAGAUAAUUCAUUUUCAAGGCCUCUGUUUCAUAAGCCGUGAAAUGAGGGAACCAUUUGAUGUAGAGAGUAGCUUCAAAACAGCUGGGAUGAAUAAAGUACUUUAUUACCUGGAGACUUCAAACACAGUCUUUUUGCUGUGGCCCAUAAUUUGACGGUGUCUAAUUGCAUCUAAAAUCCAAGUUUUCUGGGAUGGCAUCUAAGCAUCUUUCUGUUCCAGUCCUGAACUGCCUUUCACAUCACUUCCCACCCAUCUUCUUCUUGGGCCCUGAUCCUUUAUCACAUGCUGUACUCUCGGGACUCCUGACCUUCGCCUCUGCUGUUCCCCCUGCCUAGCACACCACAUCCAUUUCUUUAGAAAUCAAAGGCCCAUCUAUCUCCUUCAAAACUCAAAUCUAGUGCUUCCUCUUGCGUGCAGCUUUUUCUAACCUCAGCAGAAUGAAUUUCCCCCUUCCCUUUGUGCUUUCUCAUAGUGGAACGUUUAUCACAUGGGAUAAUUACUUGUUACAUGUUUUAUUUUCUGUUUAAUACCUCCUAAGUUUUGCCUGAAGCUUGUCCACGUGCUUGGUCACAGAACUGUCCUGGGAAAUACCCCGAUGAAUUAUUUCAAAAGCAACCAAAGUGUCCUAACAUGAUGGUAGCAGGGGAAAAUGAAGGAUCAUCUCAGUGUGACUGAAUGAAAAGCAGUAUCUGGAUCUUCAUAAAUGAUGGAAUUGAUUUGCCACACCAAUUGGUAAAGGCCUGAAGCCAUGGUUAACAGGGUUAUUUUGCUGAAAACUUCAAUCAAGAAACACUGAAAGGACAAGAGUCCCGAUGGCCCUCGAGGCAGAUGAUUGAUUCCUGGGGCUAUGUUGGAAAGUUUGGCAGAGAAGAGACUGAACUAUGCUGUUGGGAAAUCACUUUCACUGCAGUCUGGAAAAUGGAGGGCAGGAGAGGCUACAGCCCUGGGGAAGGGGUGGUGAUGAGUCAGCUAUGAACCAGCCCCUCGGCCGUGCACUGGGAAUGUGCCGGGAGCCUGGAUCUCUUCACUGAAGUCUAGGCUCAAAAAUCUGACUAUCUGAUGUUUCCAUUUGGAUCUCUGAAAGAUGAGGAAAUAGAGGUGCAGAGGCCAGGGAAAAAGGUCAAGAUCACAAUGCUAAUAAAAGUGACUGGAUCUCCAGCAGCCAUUUUUGAUGAUUAGGGAAACUUAAAGAUGGAAGAUGUGCUAAUGAUGGAGAAAUGGCAAGAUGGAAGAGGCCUGGGUCUCUGACGACUAUAGAGCAGCCAAACCUUUGUCUAUGCUGAUCAUGUCUGAAUCCCCAGGAUAUACAACAGUGUCAGUUACCUAAGAGGUGCUCAUGAAUUUUUGAAUGGAUCAAUAAAUAAAUGAUGUGUGUUCACCUGGACCUCCUCCAAAUGGCUGCAGCUGGUUCUGCUCCAUCCUGUAUAUUUGAUGAUCUUUACUUUCCAGUUCUACCAGUAUCUCCUUGAAUGUACUUUUGUGUCUUAAUUUUGAUGCAACUUUGAACUUCUUUACGUCACUGUCCUUUUACCACCUGGAAAACUCUAUCUGCCUGGACUUACACUUUUACUUAAAUGGCAUAUAGUUUUAGAAAAAACAAGGCUUCAUAGGAAGGGCCAUCAUAAUUUUAUUUAUUUCUACAAUGGAAAAAAGUUAGAUACUCUGGACUUUAGAACAAUUUUCAAAUGUACAAAUAAAUUUAUUUUUCAGAAAAAGUGUCUGAUUAGUUUCCAUUUUCUACUGAAAUUCAAAGUAGGAAGAAGAGAUUUAGAGGGCUUUGAAAAUAAGUGCUAACUAUAUCACUUUCAUCUGAUGCUAGAACCAUUUCAUUUGGCUGUAACUUUGGUCCUACCUAUCAGCUACUCUUUCAAUACGGGAGCAAAACCAACAUAACCAAUACAUCUGAUUCUCAAAUGUGUGCCUUGCUUGGUAGACAGAUUACAAAGAAAUGACAUUCAUUGGACAUUUUAUUCAGGAUGUAUCUGAAAUAUUUUAAGUAUGUAGCCAUAGUAAAAAGCAUUAAUAUAUUUAUUCAAGAAGUUGACUAGGCACCUACUACAUGUGAGUCUCUGGGAGUGGGUGCUGGGUUUAGAGUGGUAAAUUAAUCACAUAUGGUCCCUAUCUUCAUGGAUCUUACAGUCUAUUGGAAGACUUAUACAUUAAAUAAUCACACACAGGUACAUUUUAGUUACAAACUGUGAUAAGUACUAUAAGUGAAGAGAACAGGGUGCUAUCAAAGGGAAAAACCAGGGGAAUCUAGUUUAUAUUUGUUCAUCAGAAAAGGCCUCUCUGAUGUUGAAAUUAAGACUUGAAAGACGAGAAAUAUUUAGUGAAGAAAAUGAUUCAGGGAAGUGUAUUCCUGACAAAGGAAAGAAUGUGCAAAUAUGCUAGGCAGAAACAGUUCACGAGCAUUUAAGGAACUCAAAGCAUCCCUGGGGCAUAGAAAGCCAGAAGAAUGCCCGCUGCAGUUAGGCAGGAGACGCAGGCAGGACCAGAUCAUGCAAGGCUCUGGGUACCCUACUGUAUCAGUGGUCUACUGCUGUGUAACAAACCAUCCUAAAA